rnacentral:rRNA from 1 species
AGUGAACGCUGGCGGCAGGCCUAACACAUGCAAGUCGAACGGCAGCACAGGAGAGCUUGCUCUCUGGGUGGCGAGUGGCGGACGGGUGAGGAUAGCGUCGGAAUCUGCCUAUUUGUGGGGGAUAACCUCGGGAAACCGGGACUAAUACCGCAUACGACCUACGGGUGAAAGCGGAGGACUGUCGGGCCUCGCGCAGAUAGAUGAGCCGACGUCGGAUUAGCUAGUUGGCGGGGUAAUGGCCCACCAAGGCGACGAUCCGUAGCUGGUCUGAGAGGAUGAUCAGCCACACUGGAACUGAGACACGGUCCAGACUCCUACGGGAGGCAGCAGUGGGGAAUAUUGGACAAUGGGCGCAAGCCUGAUCCAGCCAUGCCGUGUGGGUGAAGAAGGCCUUCGGGUUGUAAAGCCCUUUUGUUGGGAAAGAAAAGCAGCCGGUUAAUACCCGGUUGCCAUGACGGUACCCAAAGAAUAAGCACCGGCUAACUUCGUGCCAGCAGCCGCAGUAA